GCUAAACCAAUGAGAAGGGCUUCCACGACGGCAACGUUUGGGGGCCUUUUUCUUUUGCG
rnacentral:antisense_RNA from 5 species